UGGGUGUAGUUAUCGUAUGAUUCAGUCCUUCUAUCAUGAGUUCCGACUUGACGAAGGUCGUAGAGAACUCGUCAAACUCCAUCGUUAGUCAUAUGCUAGAUUGGCUCGACUCGAGUUCAUUUGUGAAUCUCGUGAAAAGUCUUUUUCAGUAUUCAUAUUUGCUUUGACCAAAGAUUUUCUGAACUCAGUCUCAUAAAUUAUAUAGGACUUUUCAUUUUCUACCAAAGUCGAUAGAUGCCAUCUAGGUGCAUCCUACUCCAAACAGUAAAC
rnacentral:lncRNA from 1 species